rnacentral:rRNA from 1 species
GUCUAUGGCCAGACCACCCUGAACAUGCCCUAUCUUGUCUGAUCUCAGAAGCUAUGCAAGGUUGGGCCUGGUUAGUACUUGGAUGAGAGAAAUAUUGGCUUCAUGUAGU